GGUUGCGAUCAUACCAGCACUAAUGCAUUGGAUCUCAUCAUAAUUCCGAAGUUAAGCGUGCUUGGGCGAGAGUAGUACUAGCAUGGGUGACCCCUUGGGAAGUCCUCGUGUUGCAACCC
rnacentral:rRNA from 1 species